rnacentral:rRNA from 1 species
AUUGAACGCUGGCGGCAUGCUUUACACAUGCAAGUCGAACGGUAACAGGCCGCAAGGUGCUGACGAGUGGUGAACGGGUGAGUAAUGCAUCGGAACGUGCCCAGUCGUGGGGGAUAACUACUCGAAAGAGUAGCUAAUACCGCAUACGAUCUAUGGAUGAAAGCGGGGGACCGUAAGGCCUCGCGCGAUUGGAGCGGCCGAUGUCAGAUUAGGUAGUUGGUGGGGUAAAGGCUCACCAAGCCAACGAUCUGUAGCUGGUCUGAGAGGACGACCAGCCACACUGGGACUGAGACACGGCCCAGACUCCUACGGGAGGCAGCAGUGGGGAAUUUUGGACAAUGGGCGCAAGCCUGAUCCAGCAAUGCCGCGUGCAGGAAGAAGGCCUUCGGGUUGUAAACUGCUUUUGUACUGAACGAAACGGCUCUGGUUAAUACCCGGGGCUAAUGACGGUACCGUAAGAAUAAGCACCGGCUAACUACGUG